rnacentral:misc_RNA from 1 species
GAAGCCACCGAGCAAGUUGCCUUGUUCUCGCCCCCCUUCGCGAAUUCGCCGCCCCUCUCUCCCAUACCCCCUGCUUCCUUCCUUCUCUGCUGACGUCUUCGCUGCAGCCAGCGAGCAAGCAACAAGCUCAAGCAAGGAGGAACACGAAUGCGUGUUGAAGCCGCACUGAUCGGUCAGAAGUGAAGAGGCUGCCAAGUCAGCCCUGCCUGCUGCCGCCACCCUCCCUCGACCCGCCUCCCCUCAACGGCUAUCCCUCAGCACCUAGCAAAACAUGCAUAGACGCGCGACAUUCAUAAUUAUACACGCAAACGCCUCAUGCUACGGCAUGAGGUGCGCCUACGAGCGGUGAAUGAGGCCACAUCCCCGUCUCUCGUCUUUUCCUCUCCCGCUGCUGGCACGUGUGAGAUCAGCCCCCACCCCCUCCGCUACGAAGAGAAGGCGUUUGCCUUGCCAGGGGGUGGUGCCCAGAGAGCGGGUUUGUGGCCCCUCCGAUGUGGGCAGGGCCACGCGUGCGUCGGCGCCGUCCUCCCCUGUGCUCCUCACGGGGCUCUUUUAUGUUCCUCUGUCGCACACCUCAGCCGAGAAGUCCGAUGGGCGCUUGUCUGCUCUGCUCUCCUCCCCCUCCCCACCGCGCUGCUUCGCACGGCACAAGUGCUUUGCCCUCUUGUGGGCGGCCUCCGCCAUGCGUGUCGGGUCGGCUUCCGGCCGCGGCGUUCGGGUAUGCAAACACAGACAUGUGUAUGUGUGCGCGGUAGCUCUCUUCCACCCCCUCCCUCCUAUGCUGGGGAGGAUGCCACCUGCUUUCAUGGCCUUGUCUGCCCGUUCAAGGCAGUCCCACCCUGACCAGCCUCCAUCACGUCCGCCACCGGGUGCGAUACGGCGGAUGAGAGGAGGGGGUGGGCCCUGCGCCGUCACCGACUUCGUCAAACAGAUAAGCAGCGAUUCCGCAAAGGCGGCGCGCAGCGGUCCGCUUCCUCCCUCCGCCCCUACCGGGCGACGCCCACAACAGGCCAGAGAACGGGGGGGGAGGGGACGGGUCGAGACCCGGCACCGCCCCAACUCACUCUAAACUGCCUUCUUCUCUUCCUUCCCACCGACUCUCUCUCUCUCUGAUCUCACAUCAGCGAGGGCAGGAGCUGGCCACCCAUGCACAGACGCGUCGGUGCAUGCGUCGGGGACACCUCGUGCAUGGGUACGUGUGUCUGAGUUUUCGCUCCUCCUGUUGUGCGACGUCCAAGCACCCCUGCGGUGAGGGAAGAGGAGGAGAAAGUAAGGGGAGCGUGUUCGAUGCCUUGUUCGCUCUCUUCCCUUAUCCGAGUAGAUGUUUUCACGUGUACAUGUAUGCAUGUGUAUGCCACUUGCUUCUCUCUUUCUCUCCUCUUCCUCUCCCACCCCACACACAUACGUUAUCCUUGCACACUCCACUAUCCUGCACCCCCAACUCCUUUCACUGCUGCGGCGGUGGGUUUGCCCUGCCAACUCGCCGAUGUACAACGGCGGCGCGUCCAUAACUACGGUGAUGUGACUACCGCGGAGUAG